GACGAACGCUGGCGGCGUGCUUAACACAUGCAAGUCGAACGGAAAGGCCCUGCUUUUGUGGGGUGCUCGAGUGGCGAACGGGUGAGUAACACGUGAGUAACCUGCCCUUGACUUUGGGAUAACUUCAGGAAACUGGGGCUAAUACCGGAUAGGAGCUCCUGCUGCAUGGUGGGGGUUGGAAAGUUUCGGCGGUUGGGGAUGGACUCGCGGCUUAUCAGCUUGUUGGUGGGGUAGUGGCUUACCAAGGCUUUGACGGGUAGCCGGCCUGAGAGGGUGACCGGCCACAUUGGGACUGGGAUACGGCCCAGACUCCUACGGGAGGCAGCGGUGGGGAAUAUUGCACAAUGGGCGGAAGCCGAAGGCAGCAACGCCGCGUGCGGGAUGACGGCCUUCGGGUUGUAAACGGCUUUCGCCUGUGACGAAGCGUGAGUGACGGUAAUGGGUAAGAAGCACCGGCUAACUACGUG
rnacentral:rRNA from 1 species